AUUUAAUGAUGUUUGGGAUCCGGUCCUCCUGGACUAACCCUAUUAGUGUCAUAAUGAUAUUCCUCCUGUCUCUUUAAGAUUGCUUUGAACAUUUCUUUUGCACCUUGGAUCAAUGCAUGUCUCGUGCCGUCCCUAUCCGCAUGAAGAGUAUCACGAUCACGAACACUAGCACGAGCAUGAGGAGUGGAGAACGAAAGUGCAAUCAAAAUUAAGCAGAACCAAAAUUUAAAACCAGCCAUUGAAUGAUAUAUACUAUACUAGCAUCAAGGGUUUUGUAGUUUGCA
rnacentral:lncRNA from 1 species